UGCGUCUCAGUUUGCCUCAGACUUAAGUGGCUGGUGGAAGUGAGAGAUCUCUAAAGAUUCACCCAAUCCCAUUGUUCUAAGGUAAUAAAUCCUAUAAUUGCUGUAUCCUCAGAACCCAGCACGGGGCACUGCAUACGGUAGAUCUGCUUAACCAUGUACCAAAUGCAUCCGCCUCUUCCCCAACAUCCAUUACUACUGGAACCCACCAAGAACUGAAUUCCAUGGUACUUCUCAGGAUUCUUGAGGUCUGGACUAAGCCCUGGAUUGGGAAAGACGUGUUUAUGAUGCAGACCAGUUGGGGAGAUUUUUCUUGAAGGAGCAGCAGCUUGGGAAUAGCUGACCUGGUGAGAGCAUUCCUCUUCAUCUUGGCUCUGUCUGCUGUAGUUGGGGGUGAGUAGGGGUUUCAGCAGUAGAGGAAUGGGAGCCCAGAGAGACGGUGAUGAAUGAGAAGGAGACAAACAGCUCUAGCCUGUGUGCUCCUGUCUUGUUGAGGCUGAGGGCCUGCAGGGACAUUCUGAGUGAAGAACAUGCCAGGCCCACCUGUGGACUCCAGUCGCUGGUGAUGAAGGUAGCCAGAUGUGGGUGUCGGUUAAAGGUGCAGAUCCUGAGACUCAGAGAGGUUAAGAAACUCGCCCAACGCCACACAGCUAGAUAAACACCUCAGGAUUUAAAUAGAUUGCAGGGGACACCAACAAGGCUCUGCUCAGAUCCCCUCAGAUCCCUCUGGCCCAUCUGUGCAUGCAGUAACAUCUGCUUCACCGUUGACUGCUUGAACCUGUGGAUCCACUUCACCUAAGAGCACAGAGAGCUGAAAGGGCCUGGAAUCCUGUUGCCUCCCGGGCAGCCUGCAGCCAAUGAGUAACUGGUGCUGGAAAACAGAAGGCUGCUCCCUUGCUGGAGUGAACAUGCAUUAUUUGUGUAAUAAACAGAAACAAAAAUCUCGUUGUUUAAAGCCAUCCAUGAAGACCAUGUGAGAGGGUGGAAAAGGGAGGCUGGAUUCUACUAAUUGGAUUGGAGGAAGAUGUAGCAAGGAAGAAGAAAUGGGCCCUUGGCAUGUGGCAGGGAGGGGACCUACUUAAUCAAACUCAAUGAUAACAGGAGUAACGGUGAUUAAACUUCUUUGAUUCAAC
rnacentral:lncRNA from 10 species